ensembl:lncRNA
CGACAAGAGGAUGGCGACGGUUGGCCGGUUAGUCUGUGAAUGGACAGCAGGCGGCAGAGCGAAGUGACGGAAGUGAAAUGAGAACAGGAGUAGAUGGCGGGAAAGAUGAUGUAGAGGUAAAAUAAGAUAAAAACAAAGCGGGAAAGGAGAACAACAAGCAGAGUGAAAGUAAACCUGUAAUGUGGAGGAAACGGACAGUGAGCGCAGUGUAACCGUGACAACGAGACACGAGGACGGAUUUAAAGUGAUCAUAAAAUCGUCUCCAGACGGUCGUCGUUCGGCCUCUACCCUAAGAUCUGACAAACUUGGGUGUCCCACCUGAAGGCUAAGCUUCUGCUGGUCCAGCUCUUAGUGUCACUGAGGCACGCAAACCCUGAGUCCAGUAGGCGGGAUUAAUGCACCUGUAAGCUGAUUUGUCAAAUGCCAUCAAGGCCUGAAGAAGAACGGAGGAGGACAGCACUACUGUGGUAGAGGAGCGUGUGUGUGCAGACAUGGCUGCUGUUGAUGAAGCGGACUGAACUUAGAGGAGAGACACAAACUAAAGUAUCGAUCCCGUCACGUCAGUGUGGAUCUGACACCAACGUCUGUAUCACUUCAUCGAUGCUUGUAUCGAUCCGCUCAGCCUGAGUUGAAGCAGCAAUGAGUUCAGUUCAGUAUCUGAGAGAGUUCAUCAAGGAGAGACUAACUGCUGUUUGUGAAGAAAUCUUCUCAGAGGUUCAAAAACCAUCGUCCAGUAUGAGGAGGAGAUCAACCGUCUGCACAGACUGCUGGAUAUCAGCC